rnacentral:rRNA from 1 species
UACAGAGACUGCAAGCGUUAUUCGGAUUCACUGGGCGUAAAGGGUGCGCAGGCGGCCAAGUGUGUGAGGCGUGAAAGCCUGGAGCUUAACUCCAGAAUUGCACCUCAAACUACUUGGCUAGAGCAUUGGAGAGGGUAGCAGAAUUCAUGGUGUAGCAGUGAAAUGCGCAGAUAUCAGGAGGAACACCGGUGGCGAAGGCGGAUCUCUGGGCCUUACCUGACGCUGAGGCGCGAAAGCUAGGGGAGCAAACAGG